rnacentral:lncRNA from 1 species
AUAAUGACUAGACUAAAAGGUACGCCUUAUAGAAAUCAAGGAGAAUGACUCGACUAAAAGGCACGCUUUAUAGGAAUCAAGGGAGAUGACUCGACUAAAGGGUACGUCUUAUAGGAAUCAAGGGGGAUGACUCAAAUAAAAGGCACGUCUUAUAGGAAUCAAGGGAGAUGACUCGAAUAAAGGGUACGUCUUAUAGGAAUCAAGGGGGAUGACUCGACUAAAAGGUACUUCUUAUAGGAAUCAAGGGGAAUGACUCGACUAAAAGGUACGUCUUAUAGGAAUCAAGGGGAAUGACUCAAUUAAAAGGUAUGUCUUAUAGGAAUCAAGGGGGAUGACUCGACUAAAAGGUACAUUUUAUAGGAAUCAAGGGGAAUGACUCGACUAAAAGGUACAUCUUAUAGGAAUCAAGGGAGAUGAUUCGACUAAAAAGUACGUAUUCGAGGGUUCAAGGGGAAUGACUCAACUAAAAGGUACAUCUUCUAAGGGUCGAGGGGAGAUGACUCGACUAAAAGGUACGUCUUCUAGGGGUCAAGGGGAGAUGACUCGACUAAAAGGUACAUCUUAUAGGAAUCAAGGGGAUGACUCGACUAAAAGGUACGUCUUAUAGGGGUCAAGAGGAAUGACUCGACUAAAAGGUACGUCUUCUAGGAAUCAAGGGGGAUGACUUGACUAAAAGGUACAUCUUCUAGGAAUCAAAGGGAAUGACUCGACUAAAAGGUACGUCUUAUAGGAAUCAAGGGGGAUGACUCGACUAAAAGGUACGUCUUCUAAGAGUCAAAGGAAAUGACUGGACUAGAAGGUACGUCUUCUAGGAGUGAAGGUUCAAUUUAAGAAGUGUAUCACCCAGCAAAUUAAAACUAAAAUCCCUGGACAAGAAAGUGUGUUUCCGAGGGAUAUAAGAUGAUGAAUUUUUACCAUGAUUUAAUUAUCAAACCUGUGCAGCAACAUUGCUUCCUACAUUUGUCAAAGCAAGAAAUUAGGGGCCUUGAUGUUUUGGCUUUGAAAUCCUUGAUUUGAAGGUGACAUGUGUUCCUGUUUUAUGCAAAGAAAAGUUGUGAGUUUAAAAACAUGAAGGCAGGUUUGUGGCUUUGGCUUUCAUGGCAAACGCUCUUGCCGUCAUCACAUUUAACCUUGCUUCCAACCAUUACAUAUAUCAUUGAUUUGAUGCAUCAUUGACCCAAACUCAGAUUAUUAAGAGUGACUUUGAAACAAACGCAGUAUCUUUGCUUUUCCAUGCUCUUCAGAUAAACCCUUUGAACUUUGGUAUUUCCAUGAGUGCCCAGACUUUUCUGUUGACAGAACUUUCUGUAUGCCUUAUUUCGGCUCACAAUCAUGUCUUUUGUAUAUGCUAGUUCUUUUGUCUUGCUUUGUGCAAUUAAAGAAGCUGGUAGCCAUUUUUGAAAUCUUUUCUCACUUGUUUUGACAUGGACUUGACUCAAAGACAAGAAACUAAAAAAAAGAAUGACAAUUUUUGUUUGGAUAACUGACUCAAUGACAAUUUUUAUUUGGAUAACUGACUCAAGAAAGAUAAAAUAAAAAUAAAAAGAAGAAAGAAAAGACAACGAAUGUCCCCUUUUGAAAUAAAGAAACAAAAAAUUCAUCUAAAAAUGACAGUCAACACUAAUGAUUAUGCCAUGCAUUUCGGAUUAAGCAGCUUGAUCUUUUCAUCCAAACUUUCUACCCAUUGUUGUUGAGCUAAUGGCCUUGAAACUGAGUUUCUUCCUUAGGUAAAUUGUAUUUAAGACCCCAUUCAGCUAGUGGCGCCUUGAAGGGUUUUUGCCAACAAGCUUCUCUCAUUUUCUUUUCCUCAGUUCACCAUUGCCUUAUGGUGUCUGUAAGGGUUUUCCACUAAUGAGACUCUCUUAUCUUCAUUUCCCUUAACUCACAGUUGUCUUACGGUGCCCGUGGGAGUUUUCACCGAUAAAACUCUCUCAUUUUUAUCUCUCUCAACUUAUCAUUAUCUUACGAUACCCGUGAGAGUUUUUACCAAUAAGACUCUCUCAUUUUUAUUUCUCUCCUGAUUUCUUAUGCUGAGGAAGACAAGUAGUUCCCAAAUACAUCACCAUAUCCCUUGCAUGCUUAGCCUUAACAUCUUCAAAGAUUGAUUUGAGGUCUUUCUUUGGUUGUAACUUGGCUUUUGGAUAGGGUUAGAAAGAAAGGAUGGCAUGGGGCCCAAAUAACACUUAAAGUAGGGUAGGACUUACAACUUUUGGAAUCAACUCAAACAAUGAGGAUUAACUAAUGCCCCAGUUUUUUUUUACUGCACAAUUCUAAAUUAUUUAUUUGGUUGGACCAAGCCCGGAGUAGGGCAGCCUAUGUAUCUCACCCCCGAAAGAGGAGAAUCAGGUCACACGUAGUUUCGGUGGCUUGUUCUUUUGCUUGAUUCUGAUUUUUUUUCUUUUAUUGCCUCUUUUAUUGACUUUUUUUUUCUUUUUGGGACCUUCUAACUCUAUUUUUUUAUGGACGCUCUUUUCUUUUCCUUCUUUUGGACACAUUUUUUCUCUCGUUUCUUUUUGAAACUUUCUGACUCUAUUGUUUUGCUCGAUAGUUUUUUUUUUUUUUGAGGUUUGUUGAAUCUAUCUUGAUUCUAAAAGAGGGGCAUGAAGGAAAAUAGGACUAAAUCUCAAAUGGGGUAAACAAAGGAUGACACAAUGUUUGGAUAGCAGAAUGAAAUGCCUUCGUCAUAUCAAUCCUUGAAAAUGCAAGUACAUAUUAUGCAAUAUAAAAGUGAGAGAUGAAGAUCAUUUGUGAUAUUUUUACAACGCUAAUUUUAACUGAGACUGUGCGUCGCUACUUGUUCUGCAAACUCCAUCUUUGUUGUACAUUUCUCAUGCUUUCGUGGAGCUAAUUUUUCUAUUCCUUUUUAUGUGGGAUCACCAUCCACUAUUUGACCUAAUUGAGACAUGUCUUUCAAUGCUGACCAAGUUAUUCUCACGAUUCUCAAAAUAAUUGCCUUAAUUUUUAAAGAAGGCUUCAACUUGAUCACCAAAUGCCCCAACACUUAUCUAUUUUCUCAGACGCUUUCUUUUUCUAACUUUAACCCUCUGAUUCAAUGCUCAUGCUUAAAGUGGAUUUUAAGAUCUGAUAGAAAAUUUCACUAGCAUGUCAUAUCACUAGAGUCAACAUAAAAUGUACAAUGUAAAGAAAACAAACAAACAACACAUAUUUAAAACACAAAGGAAAAUAGGACACUUCAUUUAGUUGAAACAAAAGAUAGAAGAGUUUGAACAUAAACGACAAAAGGACAAAAUAAGAUAGAUCUCGAACUA